GGAAAAGGAUCUUCUACUAAGAACGCCCACGUCGUGUGGGCAGCGCAGAAGCCACCGCAUCCUGCGGA
rnacentral:sRNA from 1 species